AUUGAACGCUGGCGGCAGGCUCAACACAUGCAAGUCGAGCGGGGUGAUGGUGCUUGCACUAUCACUUAGCGGCGGACGGGUGAGUAAUGCCUAGGAAUCUGCCUAUUAGUGGGGGACAACAUCUCGAAAGGGAUGCUAAUACCGCAUACGUCCUACGGGAGAAAGCAGGGGAUCACUUGUGACCUUGCGCUAAUAGAUGAGCCUAAGUCGGAUUAGCUAGUUGGUGGGGUAAAGGCCUACCAAGGCGACGAUCUGUAGCGGGUCUGAGAGGAUGAUCCGCCACACUGGGACUGAGACACGGCCCAGACUCCUACGGGAGGCAGCAGUGGGGAAUAUUGGACAAUGGGGGGAACCCUGAUCCAGCCAUGCCGCGUGUGUGAAGAAGGCCUUAUGGUUGUAAAGCACUUUAAGCGAGGAGGAGGCUCUUUUGGUUAAUACCCAAGAUGAGUGGACGUUACUCGCAGAAUAAGCACCGGCUAACUCUGUGCCAGCAGCCGCCGUAA
rnacentral:rRNA from 1 species